rnacentral:rRNA from 1 species
GGUUGAUCCUGCCAGUAGUCAUAUGCUUGUCUCAAAGAUUAAGCCAUGCAUGUCUAAGUAUAGCUGUAUACUGUGAAACUGCGAAUGGCUCAUUAAAUCAGUUAUAAUUUAUUUGAUGAUACCUUACUACUUGGAUAACCGUAGUAAUUCUAGAGCUAAUACAUGCGUAAAUCCCGACUUCUGGAAGGGACGUAUUUAUUAGAUAAAAGACCAUCCGGGUGAUUUGGGGUUUACUUCAAGUCAUCUGUCCUUUGGUGAUUCAUAAUAACUUUACGAAUCGCUGUUUUUUCAG